GGCAUGAUGGCCGAGCGGUCUAAGGCGCUGGUUUUAGGCACCAGUCACUUCGUUGCGCGAGUUCGAAUCUCGCUCCUGCCA